CGUGGCGCCUGUGGCCGUGAUUCCCGGUGCGGGGUGCGCGGAGUCACACGGGAGGGUUUCGUCGUGUGCGCACCCCUGUGACUGGCGAGAGAGCGUGUGCCGUUCCUUGGUGCUCCUCUUCAUGUUAUUUUGUUCAACCUCCCAGCUACGACCUGGCCUUCAUCCGUAGCGGUGUUCAUAACGAACGAUAGGAGAGCGGCAGCGUUGUGCGUUUACCGCGUCAAAUCGACGUACAGUAGUCACACCACUUACUUAGACGACAGUGGCUUUCUUGGGUCGGAGCGGCAAGAGAGGUGUCUGGUAAACUAGCUUCUGCUGUCUUGUCCCUGAUGCCCUCUGGCCCUGCUCCGAAUCUUCAGAAUGGACGAUACUUUCUAAAUCUAUUCCAAAUCUACAACAUUGUCUAUCUUUUGGUGAUACCAGUAUUUGGAAGAUUAGGAUGAAUAACGCAGGCCUCAGACUUUCCUCUCCUUAAGGUGGACUGCUUCACAUUGGGUUUCUCCUCAGUGGCCAUGGGGGAGGUUUCUCACAGAACUCGCAGAGGAAGAUCUAGGAAGACCUGAGAUAGCAGCGACUCAGGGUAUACUUGGAAAGGGGGCAGCACCACGUCCCUGGCCCGGGAGGAAGGGCAGGCAGGACCCCUGAUUCUUCUUGCUGCAAAGAAGCAUCCUAAAUUAGGAGGGAGCGUCUUCCUUCUUCAUGCUGAACUAAACAGCAGCAUACGUUCUUGGUUGUGUGGGACAGAAGUGCAGCUGCCUGCCCUGCCUGAGCCAGACCGAGUUUGUACUACCAGGAGAAUCGGUGGUGCACAGAUCCAGAGUGAAUGUUCCUGUAACCAUCUGUAAUUGCAGCUAACUCUUUUUGCCAAUGGACAGCAUUUAAAUUUUGUAUUGCAUCUUCACAUUGUCAAAGCUUUUGCAUAAGGAUGGCUGCAUAGGCCGCUCAGUCAUGACGGGGUGCUUAUGUACGAUCUAGUUGUCUCUAACUCAGGAGGGAGAUGAGCUGAUCGAAGCGAUUCUUCCCAUUUCAAAAUCCAUGAGCCAGUGCUGGUUUGAGCUACUAUGUCCAAGUGAAAUCACUCAGCGUACAGAGUAGAGCAUCAUGCUUGGAUAGUAUUGCAGGCCUGCGUUAGUAAGUUCACUUUUACAUUCCUGUGGCUUUCCAUAUGCAGUAAACAUCGGCAAAAUUUCAAAAGUAAGUCUCGCAUAGGAAGCUUUACCUUUCUCAACAUUCAAAACAGAAACUGAGAAA
rnacentral:lncRNA from 1 species